UUAUAGAGUUUGAUUCCUGGCUCAGAACGAACGCUGGCGGCAGGCUUAACACAUGCAAGUCGAACGCCCCGCAAGGGGAGUGGCAGACGGGUGAGUAACGCGUGGGAACGUACCCUUUACUACGGAAUAACUCAGGGAAACUUGUGCUAAUACCGUAUGUGCCCUUCGGGGGAAAGAUUUAUCGGUAAAGGAUCGGCCCGCGUUGGAUUAGCUAGUUGGUGGGGUAAAGGCCUACCAAGGCGACGAUCCAUAGCUGGUCUGAGAGGAUGAUCAGCCACAUUGGGACUGAGACACGGCCCAAACUCCUACGGGAGGCAGCAGUGGGGAAUAUUGGACAAUGGGCGCAAGCCUGAUCCAGCCAUGCCGCGUGAGUGAUGAAGGCCCUAGGGUUGUAAAGCUCUUUCACCGGUGAAGAUAAUGACGGUAACCGGAGAAGAAGCCCCGGCUAA
rnacentral:rRNA from 1 species